UCUCAACUUUUUAAACGUUAUAUUUCUAAAAGAACCAGAAGCCUGUGACUGCUCCCAAAAUAAUCUAAGUCCUAAAACUGUACCAACAGCAAGAAAACUAAAAGUUUUACUGCCCCCAAGAAGUCCAGUCUAUCCAGUGGACAUUAAUAAGGGACAAACAACAAUUUCUGAGUUCAAAACAAGGCCAAGAAGGACAAUAGACAAUAUACAACGGGAACCCACACUUCUACCCCUGAAAUACAGACAGAGGGGUCACCAUAUCUGGCAACCAGAGCUGUUAUUCCAUUUCUGGUACAGAAAGAGCAGAUAGAUUUCAUAAUUUUUGUUCAGGGGGAUUUAUUGAUUACUACGGACCAGUGAUUAAUGUCUAUUUUUAGUCUUUACAUUACUCAACAGCAGUUUUAUGGCAUCUGUUUUAUUCUUACACUGUUAUUUUAAAAUGGGCAUAUGUUGGUUAUGGGUAGGGGUCAGUAGAUAGCUUAUCUUGUAUUUUAUAGUGGGUCAUAUCAUGAGUAGUCAUAUCCUGACAUAAUGGAAAGAAUGACACUUCAUUUCUAUUUUGAACUGGACACAAUAACUAUGGUCUUUAGGAUUGUUCCUUGGAGAAGGGGCAAGUAGAUUCUGUGUGUAGGGAAAAGUGUCCAUAGGCACUUAACUAGUCACAGUACUCUGCUUUAGAAGAGAUUAUUUGAUAUUUAUUUUUCACCUCUUCAGUAAUAGUUUUGGCUAAGAACAUAGCCACCCAGCAAAUCAGUAUGUUUUCAGCCUUCCUUGCAAUUAGGUAUGGCCUGGUUUCUGUGCUUUGGACAAUGGAGUGUGUCUGAAUCUAAUGUAAGCAACUGCCUGGUCAAAUCCUUAAAGGAAAAGAGACACUCAGCAUUUAUUUUUUCUGCUCUUUCCACUGAUAGACUUCAGAUACAAUGCCAGGUGCUGAAGCUGCCAUCUUAUAUGACAAGAUGGAUGUGUAGAGAAGAGAGAGGAAGCAGACAAUCCAGCUGGAUGCAAUUUGUCAGAUGUGCAGCUUCCUGCAACGGUUACCAAAAUCAAGAUACUCAUUUGUACCAUCACUACAAGGCUCACUCAUGCUGCCUGUAUUUGUGUAUUCUCCAUAGAAAGAGAACCAAUAGAAUAUAGACAUACAUAUUAUGAGGGGAUUUAUUACAGGAAUUGGCUCAUGCAGUACUGGAGGUCAAGACAUCCCACGAUACAUCAUUUGCAGGCUGAAGAACCAGGAAAGCCAGCGGUGCAAUUCAGAGUCCAAAAGCCCAAGGAACCAGGGCGGCCACUGAUAUAAGUUCCACAGACUGAAGUCCCAAGAAACCGGUCAGGAAAAUAUGGAUGUCUCAGCUUAGGAAGACAGGGGGAAUUGUCCUUGACUCCACCUUUGUGUUCUAUGUGGGCCCUCAAAGGAUUGGAUGAUGCUCAUGCACAUGAAUGAGGGCAGAUCCUCUUUACUCAGUACAUUGCUUCAAAAGCUAAUUUCUUCUGAAGAAACUCUCACAGAUACAUCCAGAAGUAAUGUUUUACCAGCUAUCUGGGAAUCCUUUAGCCCAAUCAAAUGAACAGAUAUAAUUAAUCAUCACACUACACCUUGAUAGCUAUACUGCCUCCUCAGCCUUCCUAUUCCUAACUCCUGGCAAGAAAUAGGCUGUUUGUUAUCUUAAAAGUUCAUGUCAUAUUUUACUCUGAUGUGAAUAACAGAAUAAUAAUUGUUCAAUGCCAAUUGUGUCUUAAGCAAUAGUUGUGUUUCAUAAAAUAUUAUAAGAGUUCCUUUUGGUAUAAUAUAGUUGAAAUACUUCUGUUUCGCUCUUUUCUCCUGGUCACUAUGUACAACAAACCGCCAUGAUACAUGAUUAGUUUUGUAACAAACCUUCACAUGUACCCCCAAACCUAAAAUAAAACUUAAUAAAAAUAAAAUAAUAAUAAUAAAGAUAUAUUUUUCAUAACUAGCAGAAACAAAAAUGUUUUAAAGUAUGUUAAGGGACCACAUACUUCAGCAUUUUAUUU
rnacentral:lncRNA from 10 species